rnacentral:rRNA from 1 species
GACGAACGCUGGCGGCGUGCCUAAUACAUGCAAGUCGAACGCUGAAGGAGGAGCUUGCUCUUCUGGAUGAGUUGCGAACGGGUGAGUAACGCGUAGGUAACCUGCCUGGUAGCGGGGGAUAACUAUUGGAAACGAUAGCUAAUACCGCAUAAGAGUAGAUGUUGCACGACAUUUACUUAAAAGGUGCAAUUGCAUCACUACCAGAUGGACCUGCGUUGUAUUAGCUAGUUGGUGGGGUAACGGCUUACCAAGGCGACGAUACAUAGCCGACCUGAGAGGGUGAUCGGCCACACUGGGACUGAGACACGGCCCAGACGCCUACGGGAGGCAGCAGUAGGGAAUCGUCGGCAAUGGACGGAAGUCUGACCGAGCAACGCCGAGGGAGGGAAGAAGGGUUUCGGAUCGUAAAGCUCUGUUGUAAGAGAAGAACGAGUGUGAGAGUGGAAAGUUCACACUGUGACGGUAUCUUACCAGAAAGGGACGGCUAACUACGUG